AAUUUUGGACAAAGGGGGCAACCCUGAUCCAGCCAUCCCGCGUGUGCGAUGAAGGCCUUCUGGCUGUAAAGCACUUUUGGCAGGGAAGAAAAGGUGCCGGAUAAUACAUGGCGCAGCUGACGUUACCUGCAGAAUAAGCACCGGCUAACUACGUGCCAGCAGCCGCGGUAAUCCGUAGGGUGCAAGCGUUAAUCGGAAUUACUGGGCGUAAAGCGUGCGCAGGCGGUUCGGAAAGAAAGAUGUGAAAUCCCAGGGCUUAACCUUGGAACUGUAUUUUUAACUGCCGGGCUAGAGUAUGUCAGAGGGGGGUAGAAUUCCACGUGUAGCAGUGAAAUGCGUAGAGAUGUGGAGGAAUACCGAUGGCGAAGGCAGCCCCCUGGGAUAAUACUGACGCUCAUGCACGAAAGCGUGGGGAGCAAAC
rnacentral:rRNA from 1 species